rnacentral:rRNA from 1 species
CCGCGGAGGGAUCAUUA